AGUGCAGUAAUGUUACAUAUUUUAGCUGCAGCUUUAUUGUUUUUUGAGACAGGUCUUCUCAGAGUUAUGUUUUCAACAGCAAGUACACAGACUCAUUCAGGACAGAGAGUCACUAUGUGGUGUUCACACAAUAUCCAUGUUUCUGGAUAUCUGUACUGGUUCAAACAAUCAGACGGUGCUGUACCCAUUACUAUUGUGUACAUGUUAUACACCGAAAGUCUUCAGAAAGUUGAGCCAACAUAUUUCAACAAUUUCACAAAAGAUCACUUGGUCAUGGAGCAGUUCAACAAAGUCACCACCCUAACAAUCACGCAAGUGAAAAUGUCUGAUUCUGGAUUCUACUUUUGUGGAACUACAGGUUAUGAUAUGAAAUUCGGCAAUGGAACCAGACUUGAAGUAAAAGAGAAAAAUUACACAGGAACCUCAAAAAAGGGGAACACAGAAGACAGAAGCAUAAAAAAGUCGCUGAAUGUCAAGCACAACAGCAGGAUGACAAGGAAAAUGAUUCAGUAUAUACUGCUGUGUAUUUCUCAAACCAAAGACCCAAAAGAGCAGGACGACAUACAGAGGACCCAAUUGCUGUGUACACUGAUACUACUUGAAAAAUAAAACAAACUCAAACAUAUUAUUAAUUUUUUAAACAUUAAUUAUUUUUAGCAGCAAAAUAGUAAACCUGUUUAAAGAAAUGUUAUUAUUGAGACGAUCAGAGAUCUGUCUUUUCUUUGCAUUGUUGUACAUAAUGGUGAAGUUCAUUAAAAUUGCAUUGCAGUUUUCUUCGACUCCUGAUAUUAAUUUAAU